rnacentral:tmRNA from 1 species
UCACUUCCCAUUAACGCGGGAAGCCCUAUAUUGGGGCUGCCGGACUUGUUUCGGCUAUGGCGAUAAACGGUGUCGUGCAAUAGACACAGCGGACCCGGGGGCAGUACCCGGCGGCUCCACCAAAAAGAGCGGAUUUCAGCCGAUUUCCGCCCUUCCCGAUGGGGCCGAACCAGGAUCGACGUGUGUUGAAAGACGUUACUUUUCGCCCGGCCUGAAUGCGCCGUGAAACCGUUCACAACUCAUAAGAGCAAACGAUAACGACGCUCUUGCUAUUGCUGCGUAACCCAAAGCUUCACGGCUUAAGUUACUAGGUAAAUAACGGGGCUGGACCACGCCCGGCAACAGAAGUGGAAACC